GGGCUACGAGUUUAACUCCCAACCCCUGUGACAUACCACUUGUUGCCUCGGCGGAUCAGCCCGCUCCCGGUAAAACGGGACGGCCCGCCAGAGGACCCCUAAACUCUGUUUCUAUAUGUAACUUCUGAGUAAAACCAUAAAUAAAUCAAAACUUUCAACAACGGAUCUCUUGGUUCUGGCAUCGAUGAAGAACGCAGCAAAAUGCGAUAAGUAAUGUGAAUUGCAGAAUUCAGUGAAUCAUCGAAUCUUUGAACGCACAUUGCGCCCGCCAGUAUUCUGGCGGGCAUGCCUGUUCGAGCGUCAUUUCAACCCUCAAGCACAGCUUGGUGUUGGGACUCGCGUUAAUUCGCGUUCCUCAAAUUGAUUGGCGGUCACGUCGAGCUUCCAUAGCGUAGUAGUAAAACCCUCGUUACUGGUAAUCGUCGCGGCCACGCCGUUAAACCCCAACUUCUGAAUGUUGACCUCGGAUCAGGUAGGAAUACCCGCUGAACUUAAGCAUAUCAAAAGACGGAGGAAGU
rnacentral:rRNA from 1 species